GCUCAGCUAACAAGUUGUCCUUCAGCAGGCCUUGGUGGUGAGUUUGGGGUACCAUUUUCAGUCUUCUUGAGAUUUUGAUGAUAAUAUAUUUGCCUCAGUCUCUCUAUUUCCUUCUUCAAAGCUUCUUGAUGAGCUGGUUUCACACAAGUAAACUUCCAAUAAUCACUUGCACUUGCAUUAGAAUGGAACAAAAACUUGGAUUUACAAUUUUCUUUUGACAAUUUGUUUAAUUCUCGAUACUUAAAUAAAUCAGUUCAUUCUGGCAAUAAUGGUAGAUAGGACUUUUGCAGUUCAAUUUACAAGACUUGAACUAGUUUUUCUUAAUCUUAUCGAAUACUAACCAGUACAGCAUAAAUUCUUACCAUCUUUGAAGAGUUUAUCUUGAGCCAAAGCUGCUAAUCUUUGCUUGAGAACACUGUUAUCCACAUUUAGCACCAGGCGUUGGUGGUCCAGAAAAGCAACCCUUGGGGAUAAUACUGAAACUUCAGCCUUUACAUCAAGCCAAUGAUGUAAGUUCAAUUAAUUAUGAAAGCUUAAUUAAAAAAAAUUAAUUAAGAAGAAAAAUUAUAAUUUUUUCUGAAAAAAUCAGGUAGCACGUUCAAUUAACUUACUUGAAGUGAAUUUACGCUGCGUUCUAGUUCGGAUAUGUACUGUAAUUUCCUUACUCGGGACCUUUGCGCAGAUUGCCGAUUAGCCAAGAUUCUGAUAUGUGAUCACACGAGAAUGAUAAUUAAUCAGAAUUUUCUACCAUUGCAUGUUAAAUUCUUGAUGCUGUAGGAGAAGAAUGUUAUUACAUGGUAAAAAUAUCUGGUCAAAUUUAGCAUAUCAAACAUGUCAUAAAAAGUUUUAUAGUAAUGAUUACCUCUUGAUCCUUUUUGGAUCAGAAAUCUUAUCAGUUGAAUUGUCUGUAGUUGCAUGUUGAGCAUUUUGCUCCUCAGAUUUGCAUGAGCUAUACACCUCAUCAGGUUCAUUUUUUGGCUGAUGCAGCUGUUGAUCAGGUGGACCUUGUUUAUCAUCAUUAAUGCUAUUAUGAUCAGACGGCGACGAAGGACUCGAAGAUGACAAAGUGGGCCCCA
rnacentral:lncRNA from 1 species